rnacentral:rRNA from 1 species
UAGGGAAUCUUCCGCAAUGGACGCAAGUCUGACGGAGCAACGCCGCGUGAGUGAAGAAGGAUUUCGGUUCGUAAAACUCUGUUGUUAGAGAAGAACAGCGCAUAGAGUAACUGUUAUGCGUGUGACGGUAUCUAACCAGAAAGCCACGGCUAACUACGUGCCAGCAGCCGCGGUAAUACGUAGGUGGCAAGCGUUGUCCGGAUUUAUUGGGCGUAAAGCGAGCGCAGGCGGUCAAUUAAGUCUGAUGUGAAAGCCCCCGGCUCAACCGGGGAGGGGCAUUGGAAACUGGUUGACUUGAGUGCAGAAGGGGAGAGUGGAAUUCCAUGUGUAGCGGUGAAAUGCGUAGAUAUAUGGAGGAACACCAGUGGCGAAGGCGACUCUCUGGUCUGUAACUGACGCUGAGGCUCGAAAGCGUGGGUAGCAAACAGG